AUGGCCGCCCUCCUACCUUGCGCCCGCGUCGCUCUGGCGCCGUCCGUCUCCGUCGCCGGCAGCAUUGGCAGCUCGUCGCUGCGCUGGACCCUGCCCGUCCCCUCGCUGCGCCGGCGCGGCAGCCCGACGCUCAAGCACGUGGUACGCGCCAGCAAGGGCGCCGCGGAUCAGCCCGACCCGCCCGCAGACCCGGAGGGGGACGGCGGCGACGAGGAGGAAAACCCCAAGAUGGUGAACGCCGAAGAGAUUUAUGCAGAACUCGAGAAGUUCAAAGAGGAGUAUGCAGCAAAGAAGGGUCUUCCUUACAAAAAAAGAGAUAUGACUGAUGAGAUGUUCUACAACGAGAAGUGGAAAAUAUAUAAGUAUAUUCGGGAGAUGAUUUCUUCCAAUCCAAGCAUUUUGCAUGUGGAAACCGCCCUGUCUCAGGAACUGUGCAUCCAGGCUGGUGACGCUCUGGAUUUGGCUAAAAAUAUCGUGUAUAGUGCAUCUUACAGGCUCAAGCGGCCAAGUGAAAUUUCCGUGAAUACAACGGAGCAGAUGGUUCGGAUCUAUGCUUCCACCUUCAUGAAAACCGCCGAGGACGUCUACCAUGGGAAGACCAACACGGCAACCCUCUGUUAUUAUCUCGACGCUCUCGGAGGUUUGGCUGCGAUCAGCCACAUCUUAUUCGUCGACACUCUAGACGCCGUAAACGAUGUACUGCUCGAAGACGGUAAACCGAAGCACAGCCCCGACGUCGACGCAGAGGCUGCUUACCGCAGGUUUGAGCAGAAACUGUCUCUUCCGGAGCGGAAGAUUCUGGAGCAGAUAGUCUGCCCUGCGACGAAGCACACGAGGCAGUUCAUUGCACAGAUGAUUCGGCUGCGCAAGGAUGCGCUGAACCAAGUCCCAGGCUCUGGAAUCGGAAAGGGAAGGGGUGAUUGCGCCGGGGCAAGGGAGAUGAAGGAAUGGUAA
rnacentral:rRNA from 1 species